UGCGCAUACAUAACGCAGUAUAUAUAGGAGGCCCAUCACUCUUACACCUCUCAUCGGCUCGUCCUAGCUCAGCCUGUAACACGUCCUCGUCUCCAUCCGAUCGCCACGGUAACGGAAGAUGGCCGCAUCACAGUUGUACACGUGCCUCUCAGUCUGCGUGCUGCUCAUUUCUGGCGUCUCCGCUGGAAUAUGGAUCACUGACAUCACCAACUGCGCACUGCUUUGUCUCGGCUGUAAUGAACUGCACAAGGGAACCCUGCUAUGGGAGGCGAGAGGUGGCGGCGAGCUGUGUGUGAACUUCUGUACCCAGAGCAUACCGUCUCUGGUCCCGCGCGACUUCUGCCACUUCAUCCUGGAAUCUGGAGAAAAGAAGCGAUCCUCCUUCAAAGCAAGAUACCUUUAUCGGCAUCGGACUCAGUAAUAAAGAUAUUUUAUACCGCCUUUGCCCAUUUUUAGGGCGUUAAUUGAAUGCGAUAUUGCAUUUCGUGCCAACUGCCCCCACACAUUGAAAUACAUAAUAAACCGUCUUUAGACAAGUAAUGAGAAAGAUUCUCAGCCGAGUUCAUUUACCUGUAGAAAAGAACAGAUGACACCUUAUGUUAAAAAGGAUUUGGGCCGUUUAUACCAUCUUACUUGACGUCAUCAGCCUCCUGUUUUCCUGGAAACUUACGCGAACUGCAUCUAUCAAAUAUCAGGGCUGUCCGUCUGUAACUGAUGUGUAGGAGGUAGUCUCAAUGGAGGGGCCGGAAAAUUAGCUUCCUUGGCGACAGCCGAGAUUAUUUCAAUCUAGGACAGAAGCAAAUCCCAGCUGUACAGAGCUAAUGAAAUAACAGUCCGUGGAGAGUCGAUCAGAACAUUCAGCGUUUCAUUAGCACAAAGAACGUCAUCAGUUCGCUCAUGUUUAUCCGCCCUUCCUGUAUAGUCUGAUGCCAAGAUGUAUUCCUUUAUCUGCAUGUUCCUUCGCAUUCCUGAUCCUGUCCCUCUAAAGAUCGGACGUAUUGAACAUUUCAUGCACAAUUAAUGUUAUAUGUUUCGCCGAUGUAAUAAAUACCCAUUUGUCCUCACGACUCAGGAAAGUUUGUUCC